ACAUUCUCAAAGACACGGUUCUCGCAUUUUUGCGAGGCUGGAUCUUUCGGAUGUGAGCCUCUUUGCUUUGAUGCAAUGGCUUGAAAAUGAUUGUGUUUGCUACCGGCCUUAUGGUUCGGUUCUCUCAAGUGCAACAGAUGUUAAUUCAUUUCGUUAACUCUUGAUGAGGAACGUUCCUCAACCGGUGUUUGGCUUACACUCCAUCAAUUAUACCUUCAGCGAUACGUGUAUCGCUGUUUGAUA
rnacentral:misc_RNA from 1 species